rnacentral:rRNA from 1 species
GACGAACGCUGGCGGCGUGCUUAACACAUGCAAGUCGAACGGAAAGGCCCUGCUUUUGUGGGGUGCUCGAGUGGCGAACGGGUGAGUAACACGUGAGUAACCUGCCCUUGACUUUGGGAUAACUUCAGGAAACUGGGGCUAAUACCGGAUAGGAGCUCCUGCUGCAUGGUGGGGGCUGGAAAGUUUCGGCGGUUGGGGAUGGACUCGCGGCUUAUCAGCUUGUUGGUGGGGUAGUGGCUUACCAAGGCUUUGACGGGUAGCCGGCCUGAGAGGGUGACCGGCCACAUUAGGACUGAGAUACGGCCCAGACUCCUACGGGAGGCAGCAGUGGGGAAUAUUGCACAAUGGGCGGAAGCCUGAUGCAGCAACGCCGCGUGCGGGAUGACGGCCUUCGGGUUGUAAACCGCUUUCGCCUGUGACGAAGCGUGAGUGACGGUAAUGGGUAAAGAAGCACCGGCUAACUACGUG